rnacentral:rRNA from 1 species
AUCAACUUUCGAUGGUAGGAUAGAGGCCUACUAUGGUGGUAACGGGUAACGGGGUGUUAGGGCACAACACCGGAGAGGGAGCCUGAGAAACGGCUACCACAUCCAAGGAUGGCAGCAGGCGCGCAAAUUACCCAAUCCCAACACGGGGAGGUAGUGACAAUAAAUAACAAUACGGGGUUCUUUCAGAUUUCGUAAUUGGAAUGAGUACAAUUUAAAUCUCUUAACGAGGAACAAUUGGAGGGCAAAUCUGGUGCCAGCAGCCGCGGUAAUUCCAGCUCCAAUAGCGUAUAUUAAAGUUGCUGCAGUUAAAAAGCUCGUAGUUGAAUUUCGGGACCAAUAUGUCAGUCGUGCCUCAGUACGUACUGGCAUCGUUGGUUUCUCCCUUCUGAAGAACCAUGAUGUCAUUUAUUUGGUGUCGUGGGAAAUCAGGAAUGUUACUUUGAAAAAAUUAGUGUUUAAAGCAGGCUUACGCCUGAAUACAUUAGCAUGGAAUAAUGAAAUAGGACGUUUGAUUCUAUUUUGUUGGUUUCUAGGAUCGACGUAAUGAUUAAUAGGGAUAGUUGGGGGCAUUAGUAUUCAAUUGUCAGAGGUGAAAUUCUUGGAUUUAUUGAAGACUAACUACUGCGAAAGCAUUUGCCAAGGAUGUUUUCAUUAAUCAAGAACGAAAGUUAGGGGAUCGAAGACGAUCAGAUACCGUCGUAGUCUUAACUAUAAACUAUGCCGACUAGGGAUCGAAUGAUGUUAAUUUUUUAAUGACUCAUUCGGCGCCUUACGGGAAACCAAAGUGUUUGGGUUC